UUCCUUACAGCAUAUCAUUCGAUAAACCAACCCUAUCUAAUCAGACAGAUUCCUAAUACAUUUGUACAUACAUAAUGAUUACAUACACUUAUCAAGAAGCGAGAGGAAGUCGAAGUUUAGAUCUGUGCAGUCCUACUCAACACAAGUCGCAGAACCUAAGAACGUCUAAACAGGUGACUUAUUUACUACCUGUACCAUAUGUAUCGGCUUUCCGAGAGAAAUAGAAAGUUUCUGUAUUUCCGUUGAAUCCUCCCCCCCCCCCCCUCACACUCAGGAGACGAGUUUUCCCGGAGGGAAAUUGCCGAGCCAGAAGCGUCGCCUUAGCGGACAGACGAGGAACUUCCGCAAGUUAGUGCAAAUUCAGUGCCGAAACAAUGCUAUUAUAUAUAUGAAUGGUGUUGUAUAGAAUAAAGGCGGAACUUGGAAGUGAAUUGUAGUACCAUUUUUCUUGCCGUGAUACUGUUAUAUUAUCCGCAAUUUUGUGACAAAUGUUUGUCUACACUUGUAGUGAAGUGUACCCAAAUUAUGCGUCAUCAUUCAAGUCAUAUAUGUUUGUGUAACAAAACUCACUUCUUGUCCCAUUUUAACUUUUGGGAUGACCAUAGACCAAGAAUGCAGGUAUCAUCAGUGCGUUCUAUCAUUUUUUCUCGGGGCUUGACAGAAAUUUCUUAAGGAUGAAGGCAGUCUCGCAUUAAGAAAUCUUCAUUACCUUACAAAGUAACAUCCAUACUUUUGACGUUUGAUCUGUAGCGUUGUUUUAUGUUCAACAUUUUACUUGGCUUAGAGUACUUGAUAAAUGUUGCAUCAUACGAACAAAAGAUGUAUCCGUAGGGGAUUAUCUAGUGUCGGUCAGGUCACACUCAGGGUGUAAGAUUGCACAGAAUUAAAGAUGAACUUAAAUAUAUUUUGGUAUCUUGGACUUAAAAUUGUGUUCAAAAGUCGUUAAUAUCAUUUGUGUAAAGUCACAUUGAUUUUGAUUCUAGAUUACGUAGUAUUCAAGUAAGGAUUUGUGUUUACUCUAGACUUAAAAGCUUGCAAAACAACAUCUGGUUUGUAUAAAUCUGGCCAACGAAUAUCAUCCUCAGACAAGAGGUAUACCAGCGCCGCCAAAAGUAGUACCGCACGCUAAGUUUCUAGUAAAUGUAAUGCAUUAGGUGUUCGUGUUUAAACUAUCAAAACUAUCACGAUUUUCAGAUUGUGUAUAUUAGGCCAGUAUCAGAAGUUUCAGGAGGAGGAUAGUUUUCUAAGAUUCCUUGGUUGGUAUGCAGCUGCGGAGGGAUAUGAACAGUACCUCGCGUCGGGACAACCACUUGUCAGUUGAAGAAGGAACGCUGCGAGGAGAGGUCAUGGCUUCCAGCUCCUGAGAUGAACAUUGUACAACAUAAUUAGACUGUGACGACUAUCCAAAUGGCGACUUAGUUCAUGUUUGACACUAACAACCGGUCAACAAUGAUGCCACAGUUAGACGAACCAUACGUACCGGACGAAUGCGACAAAGACGAAGUGUUCCAGGCACCCUUACUGGGCCGUAGCCGUGUCCACCAGGACAGCGCAGCCUACACAACGUGCACAUAGACCCCUACCACAACGAGGAAAGUUAACCGAGAUCUUUCAUUACAUGUCUGUGAGACGAGCUGCGUCGCUGGAGGAGUAUUGUGCCCUAUGCCCUAUAUCAAGUCGGGAAAGAGGGAAGCCACACAUCACCCAGAACAGCGCAGUCGACAGGAGGAAGGCAACGAGGGGGAGUGCCAGACCAGCAGCAGAUCUAGAGCAGCCAAUGAAUAGCGCUGCUACAACCAUAGUAAA